CAGUAGUCAUAUGCUUGUCUCAAAGAUUAAGCCAUGCAUGUCUCAGUGCAAGCCACAUUAAGGUGAAACCGCGAAUGGCUCAUUAAAUCAGUUAUGGUUCCUUAGAUCGUACCCACGUUACUUGGAUAACUGUGGUAAUUCUAGAGCUAAUACAUGCAAACUGAGUCCCGACCAGAAAUGGAAGGGACGCUUUUAUUAGAUCAAAACCAAUCGGUCGGCUCGUCCGGUCCGUUUGCCUUGGUGACUCUGAAUAACUUUGGGCUGAUCGCACGGUCCUAGUACCGGCGACGCAUCUUUCAAAUGUCUGCCUUAUCAACUGUCGAUGGUAGGUUCUGCGCCUACCAUGGUUGUAACGGGUAACGGGGAAUCAGGGUUCGAUUCCGGAGAGGGAGCCUGAGAAACGGCUACCACAUCCAAGGAAGGCAGCAGGCGCGCAAAUUACCCACUCCCGGCACGGGGAGGUAGUGACGAAAAAUAACGAUACGGGACUCAUCCGAGGCCCCGUAAUCGGAAUGAGUACACUUUAAAUCCUUUAACGAGUAUCCAUUGGAGGGCAAGUCUGGUGCCAGCAG
rnacentral:rRNA from 1 species